GAUGAACGCUGGCGGCGUGCUUAACACAUGCAAGUCGAACGAAGCACUUUAUUACGAUUUCUUCGGAAUGACGAUUUAGUGACUGAGUGGCGGACGGUGAGUAACGCGUGGAUAACCUGCCUCACACAGGGGGACAACAGUUGGAAACGACUGCUAAUACCGCAUUAAUACAAGUAAUUCGCAUGAAUAACUUGCCAAAGAUUAUAUCGGUGUGAGAUGGAUCCGCGUCUGAUUAGCCAGUUGGCGGGUAACGGCCCACCAAAGCGACGAUCAGUAGCCGACCUGAGAGGGUGACCGGCACAUUGGGACUGAGACACGGCCCAAAUCCUACGGAGCAGCAGUUGGGGAAUAUUGGCACAAUUGGGCGCAAGCCUGAUGCAGCGACG
rnacentral:rRNA from 1 species